GACGAACGCUGGCGGCGUGCUUAACACAUGCAAGCCGAACGGAAAGGCCCUGCUUUUGUGGGGUGCUCGAGUGGCGAACGGGUGAGUAACACGUGAGUAACCUGCCCUUGACUUUGGGAUAACUUCAGGAAACUGGGGCUAAUACCGGAUAGGAGCUCCUGCUGCAUGGUGGGGGUUGGAAAGUUUCGGCGGUUGGGGAUGGACUCGCGGCUUAUCAGCUUGUUGGUGGGGUAGUGGCUUACCAAGGCUUUGACGGGUAGCCGGCCUGAGAGGGUGACCGGCCACAUUGGGACUGAGAUACGGCCCAGACUCCUACGGGAGGCAGCAGUGGGGAAUAUUGCACAAUGGGCGGAAGCAGGAUGCAGCAACGCCGCGUGCGGGAGGACGGCCUUCGGGUUGUAAACCGCUUUCGCCUGUGACGAAGCGUGAGUGACGGGAAUGGGUAAAGAAGCACCGGAGAACUACGU
rnacentral:rRNA from 1 species